CGCGCAGGCGGGGUUGGCAAGUCAGAGGUGAAAUCCUACAGCUUAACUGUAGAACUGCCUUUGAGACUGCUAAUCUUGAGUACGGAAGAGAGAGAUGGAAUUCCAGGUGUAGUGGUGAAAUACGUAGAUAUCUGGAAGAACACCAGUGGCGAAGGCGAUCUCUUGGUCCUUUACUGACGCUAAGGCGCGAAAGCGGUGGGGAGCAAACA
rnacentral:rRNA from 1 species